rnacentral:rRNA from 1 species
UACGGGAGGCAGCAGUGGGGAAUAUUGCACAAUGGGCGCAAGCCUGAUGCAGCCAUGCCGCGUGUAUGAAAAAGGCCUUCGGGUUGUAAAGUACUUUCAGUCGUGAGGAAGGUGUUAAGGUUAAUAACCUUAGCAAUUGACGUUAGCGACAGAAGAAGCACCGGCUAACUCCGUGCCAGCAGCCGCGGUAAUACGGAGGGUGCGAGCGUUAAUCGGAAUUACUGGGCGUAAAGGGCACGCAGGCGGUUAAUUAAGUUGGAUGUGAAUCCCCGGGCUUAACCUGGGAAUGGCAUUCAAGACUGGUUAGCUAGAGUCUUGUAGAGGGGGUAGAAUUCCAUGUGUAGCGGUGAAAUGCGUAGAGAUGUGGAGGAAUACCGGUGGCGAAGGCGGCCCCUGGACAAAGACUGACGCUCAUGUGCGAAAGCGUGGGGAGCGAAACAGGGAUUAGAUAC